ACCCCUACGGGGGGCAGCAAUGGGGAAUAUUGCACAAUGGGCGCAAGCCUGAUGCAGCCAUGCCGCGUGUAUGAAGGAGGCCUUCGGGUUGUAAAGUACUUUCAGCAGUGAGGAAGGGGUGUACGUUAAUAGCGUGCAUCUUUGACGUUAGCUGCAGAAGAAGCACCGGCUAACUCCGUGCCAGCAGCCGCGGUAA
rnacentral:rRNA from 1 species